rnacentral:lncRNA from 1 species
GUUCGCGGGAGAGUGGGGACUCUGGGAGCCACCGGCUGCUCCAUCCCGGGUCCGGCCCACUUCCGCCGGGCUGCUGUGUGGUCUCCUGGGUCACUUACCUGCACCCGGUGCCAUUCAGUGAAAUGCAAGUGUACCUGAUCCACGAAGUGCAUUGUUACUAAAGGUAUGGGGAUGUUUUACCUACAUGUAUGUAAGUGCCCCAUGUUCCUGCCUGGUGUCUUCAAAGGCUGUCGGAUCCCCUUGAAUUGGAACUAUGGACUGUAUUGAGCUCCCAACUGGGUGCUGGCAUGGAACCUGUAUUCUCUGAAAGAACAGAUUUCUCGGCCCCUGGUGUUUAAACAAACCUCAGUAAAAUGACUCUGCAGGAGUUGGUUCAUCAGGCUGCCUCCAUCUAUCUGGAUAGAACAGCUGUAUGCUUUGAUGAAGGCAACAACCAGCCCCCGGUGUGCUAUACCUACAAGGCUCUGCUGAGCGAGGCUUCAGAAUUAUCCGCUUUUCUGCUAGCACACUGUGACCUUGGAGGAAUUCGGGAAAUUGGUCUCUAUUGUCAACCUGGGAUAAACUUACCCUCCUGGAUUUUAGGGUAAUGUUUCUAGUAUAAACUGGUAUUCCUCUAAGCUAAUUUAUAGUUUUUAGUACAUAGUAUAUAUUGUAAGCUAUUGUUUUACUUACUAUCAGAUUCUUCUGUGUUAGCUUGUCAUUUUCUAAAGACGGUGAAGUACACUUUCCUUCUGGUAUUUUUUUUAUUAAUUUUCAAAUUAACAGUUAAUUUUAACCUGUUAAGGAAAGACUAAAAGUUUUUACUAAUAAAAUAUGUAAAUAUCUCCAAAGUAUA